UCGGGUAACAGGAGAAGAAAGCUUUGCUUUUCUUGCUAGACGAGCGGCCGCGAUGGAGUGAGUAAUGUAUGGGGAUCUGCCCGAUAGAGGGGGAUAACUACUGGAAACGGUGGCUAAUACCGCAUAAUGUCUACAGACCAAAGCGGGGGCUCUUCAGACCUUGCACUAUCGGAUGAACCCAUAUGGGAUUAGCUAGUAGGUGGGGUAAAGGCUCACCUAGGCGACUAUCUCUAGCUGGUCUGAGAGGAUGAUCAGCCACACUGGGACUGACACACGGCCCACACUCCUACGGGAGGCAGCAGUGGGGAAUAUUGCACAAUGGGCGCAAGCCUGAUGCACCCAUGCCGCGUGUAUGAAGAAGGCCUUAGGGUUGUAAAGUACUUUCAGCGGGGAGGAAGGUGAUAAGGUUAAUACCCUUGUCAAUUGACGUUACCCGCAAAAAAACCACCGGCUAACUCCGUGCCACCACCCGCGGUAAUACGGAGGGUGCAAGCGUUAAUCAGAAUUACUGGGCGUAAAGCGCACGCAGGCGGUGUAUUAAGUCAAAUGUGAAAGCCCCGAGCUUAACUUGGGAAAUGCCUCUGAGACUGGUUUGCUAGAGUCUUGUAGAGGGGGGUAGAAUUCCGUGUGUACCGGUGAAAUGCGUAUAGAUGUGGAGGAAUACCCGUGGGGAAAGCGGCCCCCUGGACAAACACAGACUCUCAUGUGAGACAACGUGUGGAGCACACGGGAGCAUAUACCCCGGUGGUCCUCCCCCUAAACAAUGUCGAUUUAUAGGGUGUGCUCGUGAAGCCACCCCCCUUUAGCAAACUCGUUGUAUACACCGUCCGGGGGGGUAUUCCCGGGUUGAGAGGGGGGGAUUUUAA
rnacentral:rRNA from 1 species